rnacentral:rRNA from 1 species
CCAGCAGCCGCGGUAAUUCCAGCUCCAAUAGCGUAUAUUAAAGUUGCUGCAGUUAAAAAGCUCGUAGUUGGAUCUUGGGAGCGGGCGGGCGGUCCGCCGCGAGGCGAGUCACCGCCCGUCCCCGCCCCUUGCCUCUCGGCGCCCCCUCGAUGCUCUUAGCUGAGUGUCCCGCGGGGCCCGAAGCGUUUACUUUGAAAAAAUUAGAGUGUUCAAAGCAGGCCCGAGCCGCCUGGAUACCGCAGCUAGGAAUAAUGGAAUAGGACCGCGGUUCUAUUUUGUUGGUUUUCGGAACUGAGGCCAUGAUUAAGAGGGACGGCCGGGGGCAUUCGUAUUGCGCCGCUAGAGGUGAAAUUCUUGGACCGGCGCAAGACGGACCAGAGCGAAAGCAUUUGCCAAGAAUGUUUUCAUUAAUCAAGAACGAAAGU